rnacentral:rRNA from 1 species
GCGAGUGGCGAACGGGUGAGUAAUAUAUCGGAACGUACCCUGGAGUGGGGGAUAACGUAGCGAAAGUUACGCUAAUACCGCAUACGAUCUAAGGAUGAAAGUGGGGGAUCGCAAGACCUCAUGCUCCUGGAGCGGCCGAUAUCUGAUUAGCUAGUUGGUAGGGUAAAAGCCUACCAAGGCAUCGAUCAGUAGCUGGUCUGAGAGGACGACCAGCCACACUGGAACUGAGACACGGUCCAGACUCCUACGGGAGGCAGCAGUGGGGAAUUUUGGACAAUGGGCGCAAGCCUGAUCCAGCAAUGCCGCGUGAGUGAAGAAGGCCUUCGGGUUGUAAAGCUCUUUUGUCAGGGAAGAAAAGGCUAUGGAUAAUACCUGUGGCUCAUGACGGUACCUGAAGAAUAAGCACCGGCUAACUACGUGCCAGCAGCCGCGGUAAUACGUAGGGUGCAAGCGUUAAUCGGAAUUACUGGGCGUAAAGCGUGCGCAGGCGGUUUUGUAAGACUGUCGUGAAAUCCCCGGGCUCAACCUGGGAAUGGCGAUGGUGACUGCAAGGCUAGAGUUUGGCAGAGGGGGGUAGAAUUCCACGUGUAGCAGUGAAAUGCGUAGAUAUGUGGAGGAACACCGAUGGCGAAGGCAGCCCCCUGGGUCAAAACUGACGCUCAUGCACGAAAGCGUGGGGAGCAAACAGGAUUAGAUACCCUGGUAGUCCACGCCCUAAACGAUGUCUACUAGUUGUCGGGUCUUAAUUGACUUGGUAACGCAGCUAACGCGUGAAGUAGACCGCCUGGGGAGUACGGUCGCAAGAUU